rnacentral:rRNA from 1 species
UGGGGAAUAUUGCGCAAUGGGGGAAACCCUGACGCAGCGACGCCGUGUGAGUGAUGAAGGCUUUCGGGUCGUAAAGCUCUGUCGGAUGGGACGAAUAAGGGCUGUGUGAAUAAUACAGUCCGAUGACGGUACCGUCGAAGGAAGCACCGGCUAACUCCGUG